UACGGGGGGAGCAAGCGUUGUUCGGAUUUACUGGGCGUAAAGGGCGGGUAGGCGGCCACCGCAAGUCGACUGUGAAAUCUCCGGGCUUAACCCGGAAAGGUCAGCCGAUACUGCGGGGCUAGAGUGCAGAAGGGGCAACUGGAAUUCUCGGUGUAGCAGUGAAAUGCGUAGAUAUCGAGAGGAACACCUGCGGCGAAGGCGGGUUGCUGGGCUGACACUGACGCUGAACUGCGAAAGCUAGGGGAGCGAACGGG
rnacentral:rRNA from 1 species